UACGAAGGGGGCUAGCGUUGCUCGGAAUCACUGGGCGUAAAGCGCACGUAGGCGGCUUACUAAGUCAGGGGUGAAAUCCUGGAGCUCAACUCCAGAACUGCCUUUGAUACUGGUGAGCUUGAGUCCGGAAGAGGUGAGUGGAACUGCGAGUGUAGAGGUGAAAUUCGUAGAUAUUCGCAAGAACACCAGUGGCGAAGGCGACUUUCUGGCUCGAUACUGACGCUAAGGCGCGAAAGCGUGGGGAGCAAACAGG
rnacentral:rRNA from 1 species